GCUAUCUCAAAAGGAAGGCAAAGCAUAGAAGCACAGAACAUUGUUCGAGUGAGUGCAUAUCUAUUCCUUCGUUAGUAUGUACAGCAGGAAAAUUAUGAAAUCUUGGUUCUUCAAACUGAGUUCUUGGAUUACCUCUUGCAACUUUACUUGGCCAAUAUACGCCUCAAGAAUGCAGCAACUGAUGUAGUUAUUACUGUAUAUGAGCCACUGUUGAUAAAAUGGUCUUAUGGAAGCAACACUAUCUCAUGCUCGUUCACCUAAACAGCUUAAGGAACCCUGGUGGCCUACCAAAUUGGCUUGGCAAUGUAGUAGUCUCUGUUGCCAUUGCUAUUGUCAUAUGUUUUACCUGUGUGUAUCUUCUUUCUUACGUUCAUAUAUCAGGUAAACCAUGACACACUAUAUAUAUCAUCAUGCUUUGCUUCCCUUUGCAGUUACAUCAAUUUCUGUGAUCAUGUUUAUUCGAAAUCUCAAAAGUAGGUUCUGCAUCAGAUUGUUACACCUGUCCUGUCCACGAGAUUGCAUCCAUCCAGAAGGGAAUGAAAAGAGCAUCAAGGCAUUUUUGGCAAAUUAUUGAUUUUGUUCUUGAGCGUGGCAUUUACCAAUCCAUUAUAUAUAUAUUGGUUUUAUUACAGUACAAAGAAAUCAAGUUCAUGUUACUCGGUGCAUUGUUCAUACAGAUGUAUAAAAAUGUUGGUGUGAUGUGGCAAUUUGAGCAAUAUUGGACCUUGCUUCUUAUGGCAUUCCAGUUGGCUGAUGAUUGCAGUUACAUGUUGAUGGCAUCCUUAUAUGUGUAGUUAUGUGGCAAAGCUUGUUUAACUGACUAUUGUCUUUGUAACAAACAACCAAUUAUCCUUACUAUUGUUACUAAAAAUGUAUACUCUCUCCCUUUGUGAUGCUAACUGAAUCACAUACUUGAUUA